rnacentral:rRNA from 1 species
UACGGGGGGGGCAAGCGUUGUUCGGAAUUACUGGGCGUAAAGGGCCCGUAGGCGGCCAACUAAGUCAGACGUGAAAUCCCUCGGCUUAACCGGGGAACGGCCUCUGAUACUGGAUGGCUUGAGUUCGGGAGAGGGAUGCGGAAUUCCCGGUGUAGCGGUGAAAUGCAUAGAUACCAUCCAGAACUCCGAUUGCGUAGGCAGCUAACUAGGCUGUAACUGACGCUGAGGCACGAAAGCGUGGGGAGCAAACAGG